rnacentral:rRNA from 1 species
CAUGCCUACGGGAGGCAGCAGUGAGGAAUAUUGGUCAAUGGCCGGAAGGCUGAACCAGCCAAGCCGCGUGAAGGACGAAGGUGCCAAGCACUGUAAACUUCUUUUGUCAAGGGACAAAAUCAGGCUCGAGGGCCUGACCGAGGGUACUUGAAGAAAAAGCAUCGGCUAACUCCGUGCCAGCAGCCGCGGUAAUACGGAGGAUGCGAGCGUUAUCCGGAUUUAUUGGGUUUAAAGGGGGCGUAGGCGGGCUGUUAAGUCAGCGGUAAAGGCCAGGGGCUCAACCCCGGCGAGCCGUUGA